rnacentral:rRNA from 1 species
AUUGAACGCUGGCGGCAUGCUUUACACAUGCAAGUCGAACGGUAACAGGCCGCAAGGUGCUGACGAGUGGCGAACGGGUGAGUAAUGCAUCGGAACGUGCCCAGUCGUGGGGGAUAACGCAGCGAAAGCUGCGCUAAUACCGCAUACGAUCUCUGGAUGAAAGCGGGGGACCGAAAGGCCUCGCGCGAUUGGAGCGGCCGAUGUCAGAUUAGGUAGUUGGUGGGGUAAAGGCCCACCAAGCCAACGAUCUGUAGCUGGUCUGAGAGGACGACCAGCCACACUGGGACUGAGACACGGCCCAGACUCCUGCGGGCGGCAGCAGUGGGGAAUUUUGGACAAUGGGCGCAAGCCUGAUCCAGCAAUGCCGCGUGCAGGAAGAAGGCCUUCGGGUUGUAAACUGCUUUUGUACGGAACGAAACGGUCCGGGUUAAUACCCUGGGCUAAUGACGGUACCGUAAGAAUAAGCACCGGCUAACUACGUGCCAGCCGCCGCCAUAAGAC